CGUGGCCUAUCGAUCCUU
rnacentral:snRNA from 1 species